UACGGAGGGUGCGAGCGUUGUCCGGAAUCAUUGGGCGUAAAGGGCGCGUAGGUGGCGGGACAAGCGUGCGGUGAAAGCCUGGGGCUCAACCCCGGGUCGGCCGUGCGAACUGUUUUGCUUGAGCACUGUAGAGGCAGGCGGAAUUCCGGGUGUAGCGGUGAAAUGCGUAGAGAUCCGGAGGAACCCCAGAGGCGAAGGCGGCGCCCUGGCUCGCAACUGACGCUCAGACACGACAGCAUGGGGAGCGAACGGG
rnacentral:rRNA from 1 species